rnacentral:rRNA from 1 species
AUUGAACGCUGGCGGCAUGCCUUACACAUGCAAGUCGAACGGCAGCACGGGUGCUUGCACCUGGUGGCGCGUGGCGCACGGGUGUGAAAUACAUCGGAACAUGUCCUGUAGUGGGGGAUCGCCCGGCGACAGCCGGAUUAAUACCACACACGAUCUGCGGGUGAGAGCGGGGGCUCUUCAGGCCUCGCUCUAUGAUGUUGGCCGAUGGCUGAUUAGCUAGUUGGUGGGGUAAAGGCAUACCAAGGCGACGAUCAGUAGCUGGUCUGAGAGGAAGACCAGCCACACUGGAACUGAGACACGGCCCAGACUCCUACGGGAGGCAGCAGUGGGGAAUUUUGGACAAUGGGCGAAAGCCUGAUCCAGCAAUGCCGCGUGUGUGAAGAAGGCCUUCGGGUUGUAAAGCACUUUUGUCCGGAAAGAAAGCCUUGGAGUUAAUACGGUCGGGGGAUGACGGUACCGGAAGAAUAAGCACCGGCUAACUACGUG